rnacentral:lncRNA from 1 species
UAGGGAAAUAACACUUAAAUUCAAUUAAUUAGGUUUUGAUCACUUGGUUUAACCGAAGUUGUAAAAAAAUCGGGUUUAACCAAAAAAUUCUCUUAAAUGGCUAGAAUACCCCUCUGAAAGUCCUGUACAGCGCACAUGAUAUAACUUAAAAUAAACAUAACUCAAAAAAUAAAACAGUUCUUCGUCCUCACAACUACCAGGCCACCACCACCAGGCCACCACCUCUCUCUUCUUACCACCAGUCCACCACCACCACCACGGCACCACCACAACCAGCCCAUCACAACACCACCUCUCUUUAGCACCACCAUAUAUCACCACCUCUCUCUCAAUCACCGUCCACCACCACAACUUCGAUCAAACGAUCUUCAGAGCCUACAAUUGUUCCCUCACUUUCACAUAAUUCUCUCUCUCCAAGUGUUGCUAAUAAACCUUAACUUUCUUCUUCCCACUUUAAGAAAACCCAAAUUUUUAUUCAAUCCCAAACUCAAUUGUUAUGAUGCAGUUUGUAGUCACUUGAUUCAGUUAGAUUAACUGAGUAAUGGUGGCGGAAUUGGAUCAGAAUAUAAAUCAGUAGUUGCUGCAAUUCAUCAAAGAUUGAAAAAUGGAUCGUUGUUCUUCAUUUGCUAAAAUACUUCUCAAUUAUUGAUGUUUCUAUUGAACUUCAACAUGUUGCAGCAAGAAGGAAUUAGAAAAUAACACUUGAUGAAGGAAGAUAAAAGAAGAGAAGAAGAAUAAGAAAUAGAGUAUUGAGAAAACGGAGGAGGUUUUUUGAGAUAAGAAUUUUUUUUUUCUUGUUUUCGAUGAAGAAUUGAUUUAAAUUUGAUUGCUUUCUAUCUUCCAAAGUGUUUUCUUCACAAUUGUAAAGGUUGAAUAAGGGUCUGUGGGAUGAAGGAGAUAAACUUGAUAUGCCUCGAGAUAUGUGUUCUUUGAUAGAUUAUUAGACAGAGUACAAAUACUAGGGCUGCAAUCUAAGCCGAGCGGCUCGGGCUCGGCUCGAUAAAAGCUCGGCUCGGCUCGCUCAUUUAUCUAAACGAGCCGAGUUCGAGCCGAUUUUUGAGCUCGUCACGAGCCCGAGCCGAGCCGAGCAGCUCGUUAACUAUGGGCUUGGGCAGUUGGGCUUAUAUCUCGUUAACUAUGGGUUUGGGCAGUUGGGCUUAUAUCUCUUCUCUCUUCUCUCUUCAAUUCUUCAUCUUCUCUCCUCCAUUACUCCAUAGUUCCAUUAAUCUCAGAUCUCAUUCAACAAAGAAUCUUGUACUGUUCAUAUUCUUUGAGCAAUUCUUUCGAUUCAAUUUAUUUCAAUAAUUUUUGAAUCUUGUUGGUUGAGAAAAAACCUUAAGAGAUUAAUGAAGACAUUUGGGUGGAAAUAAACAAACAAAAAGAAAAGGUUUUUCUACGGUGAUGAAGCAUUUGAACAUGGUUGGCUAGGAUUUUAGGAGUUUUUUUUUUCUCUUUAACUUUUCUAAAGAAAUCGCCAUGAAUGGAAGCAAAGUUAAAGAAGAAGAAAUAAGAAAAACCUUAAAACCUUCAUCAAUUCAACUAUUUCAAUCAACAAUCGCGAAGAUUGCAAUAGCUAAGAUUUGCCAAUCAAUUGCUUUUACUAGUUCUCAAAUUUCUACAUUAAAAUCGUUUUCAAUUUUUGCAACUAGAUAUCUAGAAAUCAUAGCGAAAUCUGCUUCAUGUGGAAAUUCUUCUAGAACAGAAUGUAACUUGUUUUAUGUAAUUCAAGCAAUUGAAGAUAUGAAUUCUAUAAGGAUUUGUUGGAGGAACAAAUAUGAAGAAAGCUUAAUUGAAAUUUGGAGUUUUGAAAGAAAUUAGAAGUUUUGUUAGAAUUGUUGAUGAAAUUCCAUUUGCUAGAUCAAUUCCAAGAAGAAAUUUGAAGAAAAGUUUGGUUCUUUCACGACUUCAAGAUCAAGUUCAGAGAAUUUGAUGGUGUUGAAGAGAAAGAGAAAAACUUGUUUGGAGAGAUUAAAAGUGAAUUAGUAUUAUAACGAGCCAAACGAGCCAGCGAGCCAAACAAGCCGAACGAGCCAAACGAGCCAGCGAGCCGAGCUCGAGUUUUACUGUUGGCUCGCGAGCCGAGCUCGAGCUCAUAGUUCAGCUCGAUCUUAAUUUUGAGCUCGGCUCGAGCUUGGCUCGGUUAGUAACGAGCCGAGUUCGAGCAUACCUUAGCUCGGCUCGAGCGGCUCGAAUUGCACCCCUAACAAAUACUGCCAUGUCUUGUGCUACUCACAUGUUUGUUAUGUGAGGGUAUUUUGGCCAUUUUAUAAUGUUGUGUGGUUCAACAAUCGGUUCCUGAUCAAAACCUAAUUAAUCGAACUUAAGUGUUAUUUCCCUAAUUAGUAUAUACAUACAGUGACUAAAACCUAAAUACCCCCCUUAUCUUUCUUUAUGAAUAUUAACUUUUUGUUUGAAAUAAUACUGAUGUAGUACAACUUUGAGGACAAAGUUAGUUUCUGUUUGGGGGUGGGGAUUAUUACAAGCAAAACACAUGUUAUUUUUUAAAAUAUUUUGUAUAAUUUUUUGUUUUUUUAAGUACCCUAUCUAUGAUGAAAUUGUCUCUUAUAACAUCUGAUCAUAGAAAUUUUUGAAUAAUAAAGGCAAGUUGUGAAGUUUAGAUAGUUAGUGUAUACAUAUAAUAAUUUACAUUAUUUUAUGAACUUUUAGUAGUAGAACUUCUAUGCACUUUAGUCACUUGUGUAGUUCUUAUCAAAGGGAAAUAGAUUUUCAUAUAAUUAGAGGGACAUUUGUAGAGAUCGAACCUGGUAAGAUUUGAGCCUUUCCUUUUUUUUGGAGAGUUUAUACGUAACUCCGGGUCCUACGAGACUCAACUUUUUCUUCAGCAUAUUUCAAGUCGUUGUUAGUCCCAUUGUUUUUCUUUUGGUCAAUCACGAGGGUGACAUCAAGUGGGGAGAUAUAAACUUGGGUCUUGUAGUCUAUUCGAGACAAGAUAACUAUAUUUAUUUUACAAAAAUGAGAAUAAAAUGUUGUAUUAGCCAAAUUAGCCUUAAGCCUACCCAAUGUUAACCAUCUUAAAAUACCCUUUUGCACCCUUAUAAUAAACUUAUCUUCCAUGAACUAUUUCACAUUUCUUAAUUUACAAAUCCUACCUAGUUCCUGAAAACAAUAGAGAAGAUAGAUGAUCAGCCAAUGUAAAGAGGAUUUAAUAGAAAAAGAAUGAGAACUCAACUCUUCCAUUCUAGAAUCAAAGAUUAUGCGAUUAUUCUUCCUCUGCAAAAAAAAAAAAAGAAAAAAAAGGUUCAGAAUAGACGGCAAGUUGCCACCUGUUACAGUCAUAAAAGUGGCUAGUAGCCACUCUGACAACAAUAGAAGAGAAGAGGAAAUGAGCAGAAACAAAAAUUCAGAUUGUGACAAAUCUUCUGAAGUCUAAAGCAGCAUGUUAAAGGAGUUGUUGUAAAGUUCUCAAGGAAGUAAAGUGUAUAAAAUGUCCAAGAAAUUGAAGACCUCUCUUGUUUUCAGGAUAAACUCGUACAAUCUUAUACCUUUUCUUUACCCCAAUCUUAAACCACUUUUCCAACCCAAACAACUUAUUUGAUUUGUGAAUAAAUGUAGUAGGAUUUGGAGAAUAGGUGAGAAGGCACCAAGGUGAAGGACCCGACACCCUCAUUUGUCAUUGACAUUCCUCCCUGGGACUAUUUUCAUUUUCAUGUUUUUGUCCGUCAUCAAUUUGGUGCGUGAGAUGUUUGUCCAUCUACUCUUCCUCACGUACCCGAGGUAAAAUGAAAAACACAACUUCUUGAGUGAUUUUUAUUUGUGAGUGUAUGCCCGGUGAGGACUGGAUCAAAGCAAUGUCCUAAUAAUGAUUGUGAAUCUAUUUACCGAAUGAGAAAGAAAGGUAUAACGUGACUAUACACACACACACUUUACUCUAUUGCUCAUACUAUAAUGUUUUUGAUUAUAUUGCUUACUAACUUUCUACAUAUAGAUUAACUGCCUUGUUAUUCACUAAUUUCUUUGUAAUUGGAUAGCUUGAGAUUCUCUGAGUAAAAAGAAGGGAAAAAUAAAGUUUUUUUGUAUGAGUCGUUGUAGUAUAGUGGUGAGUAUUGAUGAAGUUUGUGGGUGCCUUCUCUGGAAACCCUCACGAGGCUAUAGCUCGUCCACCUGAGGAAAUCUUGUGGUUCAAGGCCUUAUCACAUAUGGUAAAUGUGAUCGUUUUUCAUCCACGAAAGAGGUAUAGUUUUUGCUUUUGUUUAAAUUUCUGUUUUGUGUUCUUAUCUUUCUUUGUCUCAUAUUUGCUUGAAGACGAGCAAAAUGUUGUUUGGGGGUGGUGUGAUAAGCACCCAAAACUGUCAUUUAUUGCCCCAAAUAACAUAUUGAUUGUCUUCACAAAUAUGAUUAAAUAAUGUAUUUUGCAUAUUUUAAGUGAUGUUUCAGGAAUUGAUGGUCAAAUUAUGGAAUUCAUUUAAAUAUGUGCAAUAUGUCAAGAAACAAUAGGAAAAUGGGUGAAAAUACAAGGCUAAAAGGAAUUGUGAACAAGUUCAAUUAUUGGUGACGUCAUCAGUGGCUACUCGCCAGUCAAUUGCACAUGGGAAGUGACCAGUCGCCACCUUGGCAGAGAUUCAAGGGAUGAACUUUUCUGUACAAGCAGCCAGGUACAUUCAGAAGAAGAAGUCAGAACCUAAUUCACAUUAUCAGUGGAGAAAAUUAAGCUCUGAAGGAAUUCGAAUUUUGAAUUGUAUUUUCCCUCUUAUGUUUUAGAUAAAAGUGAGAGUUGUUCUCUCAUUAGGUAACUUUUCAUUCUCUUGAAAGUUCAACAAUAUUUUCUGCAACUUUACUGUUCUUCAUCAUCUUCCAUUAAUAAUAAUUAUACUCUCUUCCAUUUCUAUUAUUUUUAUAAUGUUAAUUUUUUGCUUUUAUUCUAUGGUGAUGUCUUCAUCAAGGAUGGAAGCUUAAAUCCCUAUAGGGGAUUGAUGAAGCUUCUGAGAUGAGAUUUUCAUGUUGAAGUAGUUGAUUUAAUUCCAUUAGUAAUGAGUAGAAUCGAUGUGCUUAAAAGUUUAAUUAUAUUUGUCAUCAAUUCUUUUCCUCCUGUAUUCUAUGUCUAAUAGAGAAAGGGAUUUCCCAACAUCUAGAGGACUCAUUACCCUCAAUUAUACUAGUUUACAUGUCAAUGAUAUAGGGAUAGAGAUUGACAUGUAAUUUAUCUUUGUUUAUAAUUUGUCAAUCUCUUUCACUUGAAUGAUAUAGGGAUAGAGAUUCGACUGUCAAAGGGAGACAAAUUAGAGGCCCUUGAAUCUAACCUUGAUAUAGGGAUAGAGAAAGUUAGAUUCAAGGUGAUUAAAAUCUAUGAUAUAGGGAUAGAGAUAGAUUUAAUAAGUAUGGAAUUAAAUGAAUUGCUUUGUAUUUUAGAGAAAAAUCUCGGAAGUGGAUUCAAUCUUCUAUUCACUUCUUGUCUAGUUCUCUUCAUAUCAAUCUCAAUUUAAUUGUCUUGUUUAAAUUAGUUUAAUCAAUUGUUUUUAUUUUAUUCAAUUCCAAAUUCAACAAAAUAUUCUCUCCAAUGUGUUCAAGCAUUUAGUUUUAAUUGUUGGUUUUUCAUUGACUUCAUUCUUCAUUCGAGUGGAUUGACACCUUUCUCAUCACUAUACUACCUAUUAUUUUAGGAGAGAAAAAGUUUUUGCAUUCUUCGCCUUAACGACAUUGCAUUUAAUAUUAAAAACGCAAAAAGGUGAGAAUCACUUAACAAAUAAAAUAUACCAUGAGAUCUUUGCAAACCUUGCCAACACAUCUUCGCACAAUAAUAAUUAUAGAUGCAAAAAGCUCAUUACAACUAAACCAUAUCCCAUAAUAACCCUAGAACCAACCAAGUCUACCCGACUCUAAUGCGGUUUUAAACAACUCUAAAUUAUACUACCCCUAACCAUUAUAAUUAUACCUCACACUAAUUAACCAUACAAACAAAUAUGUCUUACAUGACCCUAAAUGUGGCCUUACGCGACUUUACAUGUAUUUGCAAACAUAAUCUACCCCAAUAAACCCUGGAACCAACCAAGUUUUCUGCCACGUUAAUGUGUUGCAACUAUACCCUACCCCUUAUAAACCAUAAAACCAACAAGAUUUAUUCAGCCCUAAAUGCAUACAGCAACAUGUAUGGAGCUCUUUGCAUUUCUUAACUAGUUGGUAUAUGUUUUGAUGGUUGCAUAGAGCUUAAUGCAUUGGAUGCAUAUAUAUCUUUGCAUUUUUAACUUGUUGGUAUAUGAUAUGUUGGUUGCAUUAGGUUCAAUGCACCAGAGCAUAGAAGUCAAUGCAUUGGGUGCAAAUGCAAGUACGGAUUGUUGGUAUAUGAUAUGUCGGUUGCAUUAAGCUCAAUGCACUGAUAUGUACAGAUUGUUCACCAAGAAAGACUUGGCCUUACAGUUCAUAACUUGUUGGUAUAUAUUGUGCCGAAUACAUAGAGCUCAAUGGAUUGGAUGCAUAAAGCAUUUUGCAAUGUAUAAUGGUUAAUGCAUUAGACACAUAGAGCUAUUUUUAAAAUAAAACUACAUGCAUGUUAAACUUAUGAAUGCAUAAGCAUUUGAUAACACUACCGUUAUUCAAAACUAUAUUUCAUAAUCAUAAAAUAUAUUUAACUAAUAAGUAAAUAAAACUUGGAAAACCAUUAAAUCAACAACAUGAUUGAACAAUCAAAAUCCCGAAAUCCCCUCAUAACUUGAACUAAAUUUCAUUGUAACUUGUAAUUUAAAAUACACAAUCUCAUUUAUGUUUAUUAAAUUUUGGUCAAGUACAAUACCGACUCAUUCACACAAUAUAAUUCCUCAAAUAAAAGAUCUUCUUAUAUAUUUUGACAUUUACUGUUACCAGCCUUGCCGAAUAGGUUUUUUUAGAGAAAUUGUUACUUUUAUUGAUUGAUGGUAAACAAAGUACAACCCUAAACAACAUCUACAAGUAGUACAUUGACAAGUCAUGCCUUUAGGCUAGAAAGCAAAGCAAGAUACAAGUGAUUUACAACUCAAAACAAGAAGCAUGUAGCAACAACCCGAACCAACAAUGCAUAGCUUCAUAACAACAGUAGUCGCAACUCUGCAGCGCAUCAACAUCCCAUUCCAAUUGUGCAUACCUUCAACAGUAGCAGCAGAAAUUGAACUUCAGUAUUUGUGUUCCAACAUUAAGAAUUCCCUGUAAUUGGACUCUCAUCCACAGUGUCUUAGCAACACCAACACCACUCAUCUUGACUUUGAUGAACCACUUCCAAAAAUUCAUCUUGACUUAAUGAAGCUUGGGGUACCUCCAUCCAUCAGUGUAUAUUACUAUAUUCACUUUAAGAAAACAUAAGUCUGUAAGUAGGAAACAGUUUUUUAUGUGCACAAUUAGUUAUUGUGGGGACCCUAUUAUAGACAACCCAAAAACAAAAUUAAACAAAGUAAAUGAAAUGAUAAUGAAAUAAAAACCCAAUUUUGAUUUUCAAGUAAGAAGAAGAAAAAAAAAGGAAAACACACCAAAAUCUAGAGUACAAAACAAGCAAAAUUCAUACCUAGAUCUUCAUAAACUCUUCUUUACUCGUUUUUCUACUCAAUCAGAACUAAUUAGAACUAAAAAUUGAAAAAAAACAACAAAAAAGACGAAUUCAAAUGAACCCCAGAACAUUUUCUUCUAUGUUUCUAUGCUAAACAUUAAAGAGAUAGCUAAUGGAAUAUCAAUUUUACAUUCCAAUAUUUCUCCACUUAUCUAAUGGAAUAUCAAUUAAUUCAACAUUACACCACCACUACCUCCAUAAUUACCACUACCGUCUUCGUAUCCAUCACCACUGCCUUCAUGUUGACCGCCGCCACCACUUCUAUCUCGAAAUCCAACGCUAUUUUUAAACUAAAUUUUGUUUGUUUAAGAGAGAGAGAGAGAGAGAGGGGAAUUUGUUGUUUUUUAGAAGAAAAGAUGGAAGUAAGGAAGAAAAAAUAAAGAGGCAGAGAGAUAAUAGGAAAACGAAGAGAGAAGUAGUUAGGGGUAUUUUAAGUAUAUUAAUAAAAAAGAUUAUCUAAAAAGGGUCGUUUUUUAAAUACGGGUCUUAAUAAAGGCUUUAUGUGAUAUGUGUUACACACUUACACUAAACAUGGUCUUUUGUGAAACUUGUACUUUAGCCAGGCUAUUUUUAUUUUGGUACCCUUAACAGGGUCCUGGAACCAUUUCUAUGCUAUGUACGUGGUCAAAGAAAAAAAAAAAAAAAAACAAUAAGUAUGCUGCCAUAUACCAAAUAAUGAUGAACAUGAUCCUAAUCCAGAUGAUAGUUCGAUUAUACCAAAUGUUUCGUUAAAAAAACAUUUCAGGAAAUAAUAACAUUAUAUAACGAUUUGCUACAAUAUGAGCAAAAUAUUCUAGAAGUUGUGUUUCUCUACAAGAAGUGGAUGGGGUUAUAUAUGGUUUUGGUACAAAGAAAAAACAAACUUUAGAUGCAUAUUUUCACAAAAAACGAAUUUAUAAAUAAAAGUUCAAGUAUAUGUAGAUUAUAUACAUUGUUGUAAACAUUAUUAUUGUGGAUGUCCAAUCUAAGCCCAAGCCCAAGUCCACAUUAUAAUUACUUUACAACAUGGUUCAAGAUGCAUUUAAUGGUACUUGCUUACUCACUAUAUACGUGGCUCAUACCUAUGUUAAAGUCGGUUUGACUUUAAGAUAUUCCUUUGCUGAAUAUAUACAUAAGUGAAUGUGAGGUACUAUGUACAACGAUAAUACAGAGAAGUGAAAAUGAACAAGAGCAACUUAUCAGCUACUUAUCUCCGUCCAUAUCUCUCUAUUAUACUACUUGUUUAUAAAUAUUAGCCUGGUCUAUCUAUUAAGCUACCUGAAGUUGCUUUAAUUUUUACUACGUUAUCAGCACGACUUUGCUCUAUUGUUCAACAACUACAAGAAGUGUAUACAUCAAUAAGGUGUUAUUACAACAAGGUGUUACCAGUGUAAGUAUUUGGGUAAGUUUGUUGAUUUUCGUAUUAUAAUCAUGUCUAACAUUACCAAGUUGGAAUUUACUGCUUUAGAUAUUACUGGUGAAAAUUAUCUGUCUUGGGUACUUGAUAUCGAAUUACAUCUUGCUUCCAUGGGUCUGGAAGACUCCAUAAAAGAAGGAAAUCAGUUGUCCCAGCAGGACCGUGCUAAAGCACUAAUUUUCCUUCGCCACCAUAUCCAUGAGGAAUUGAAAACUGAAUACCUCACUGUCAAAGACCCGUAGAUUCUUUGGCAGAAUUUCAAAGAAAGGUAUGACCACCAUAGAACUAUUUCCCUUCAAGGGCUCGACAUGAGUGGUCACACUUGAGGUUUCAGGAUUUCAAAACUGUUUCUGAAUACAACUCGAAGUUGUUGAAAAUCGCGUCCACCCUGAAGUUAUGUGGGCAUCCUGUUACUGAGGAAGAAACGAUAGAUAAAACACUAUCUAUAUUUCAUCCUAUAAAUAUGGUCCUACACGAACAGUAUCGGCAAUGUCGACUUAAGAAGUACUCGGAGUUAAAUGAAAUUCUUACUUCUGCCGAGCAAAGUAAGCAGCUCCUGAUGAGCAAUGCUAACAAAGGGCCACCUGGCUCUGCCCCUGUGCCUGAAGCACAUGCGUCAUCAUAUCGUGGUAGUAAAAGGUGGAAUGGGCCCAAAAGAGGCAAAGGCCCCAGAGGUGGCCGAUACCACAAGAGUGGUGGUCCUCAUCACAACAAUUCCAACCACAAAGGGUCCAGAAGUACCCCAUACCACCAGAAGUGGGAUGACACUGAGCCUAAAAAGGAUAAAGGGAAAGGUGCCAGUAGCACUCGUUACCAUAAGACUGGUGAUGACACUUGUCAUCGUUGUGGUAUGGAAGGACAUUGGUCGCGUACCUGUCGUACGGCCAAACACUUGGUUGAGCUUUAUCAAGCAUCAAAGAAUGACAAAGGAAAGAAAGUGGAAACAAACUUUGUCGAUCAGUCUGAGCCAGAAGACUCUACUCUAUUUAAUGUUGAUGAUUUCAUUGUGGAACCAGAGUAUAAUCUUGACUUCUUUGAUGGAGGUUUCCCCACCAAUUAAGUCUAUAUCUAUCGUUUUAUAUCAUGUAUCUGUUGACUCUACUCUACUUGGUAUUGUGUCUGUUAAUAAAUAAUAAGUGUGUGUUAUCUUAACUCGUACUCACUUUAAUUUUCUUGAACUAUGAAGGGAUAUGGAUCCCGCAUAUAGCAUGCAUAAUCGUCUUGCGGAUGGUAGAGUUGUAUGCCUCGUAGACAGUGCCACGACACACAAUUUUACGAGACCGUAGGUAUUUUUCACAAAUGAAAUUUGUGAAGGCUAAUGUGGACACUAUUUCUGGUACAUCAAGUCUUGUUGAAGGCUCUGGCAGAGCCCAUAUCAUGCUCCCUGGUGGUACCAUAUUCAACAUUGUGGACGCUUUAUAUUCCACAAAGUCCACAAGAAAUUUACUUAGUGUUAAAGAUAUACGUCUUAAUGGUUACCACAUCGAGACUAUGAAUGAUCAUGAUAUUGAGUAUUUGUGUAUAACAUCUGAAGUUUCAGGACAGAAGCAGGUUGUAGAGAAACUUAAGGCUAUCUCUUCAGGGUUGUACUACACAACCAUUAAGCCCCUUGAAUCUUAUGCAGCAAUGGGCCAGAAGUUCCAUGACCAUAAGACAUUUAUAUUAUGGCAUGACCGUUUGGGUCACCCUGGGGCUAGUAUGAUGCGAAGAAUUAUUGAAAAUUCACAUGGGCAUAGUUUGCAGAACCAGAAGAUUCUUGCAUCUAAUGACUUUGUUUGUACUGCUUGUUCUCAAGGUAAGUUGGUCACAAGACCAUCUCCGACUAAGGUCAGUACUGAGUCUCCUACAUUCCUACAACGGAUUCAAGGAGAUAUUUGUGGACCCAUACACCCACAUUGUGGACCAUUUAGAUAUUUCCUUGUGUUAAUUGAUGCAUCUGCACGAUGGUCUCACGUGUCUCUGUUGUCUACACGAAAUAUGGCAUUUGCACGACUUCUUGCUCAAAUCAUUAGAUUACAGACACAUUUUCCUGAUUACCCUAUUAAAUCCAUCCGCCUUGAUGGUGCUGAUGAAUUCACAUCACAGACCUUUGAUGACUAUUGCAUGUCUAUAGGGAUUGACAUCGAGCAUCCCGUUGCUCAUGUACAUACACAGAAUGGAUUAGCAGAGUCCUUUAUCAAACAUAUUCAGAUGAUUGCACGCACAAUGCUUAUGAAAUCAAAAUUACCUGUUUCUGCAUGGGGACAUGCUAUACUGCAUGCCGCCACACUGGUUCGACUUAGACCAAAUGCAUAUAACCAAUAUUCUCCUUUACAACUUGCUUUUGGUCAUCAACCAGAUAUUUCUCAUCUACGAACAUUUGGUUGUGCGGUGCAAGUUCCAAUUGCGCCACCUCAACGCACAAAAAUGGGACCGCAACGUAGAUUAGGAAUUUAUGUUGGUUUUGAUUCUCCGUCUAUUACUAGAUAUCUUGAACCUUUGACAGGUGAUGUUUUUACCGCAAGAUUUGCGGAUUGCCACUUUGAUGAGACAGUCUUCCCACCAUUAGGGGGAGGAAAUUCAUCUGUUCCUGGAGAAUGGCGUGAAUUGUGGCUUCCCGCAAAAGCACCUAAAUUGACUUGGUAUACACCAACUUUGUCUCAUCUUGAUCCACGUACUCCUUUGUGUGAAACUGAAGUACAAAGGAUCAUUUACCUUCAGAAAAUUGCUUGGCAAUUGCCUGAUGGUUUUACAAACGCAGCAAAAGUGACAAGGUCACAUGUACCAGCUGCUAAUGCGCCUGCGCGAAUUGAAGUCCCAGAAGGACGAUCUGUCCUUGAAGGACGACACGUCUCUGAAAGACAACCCGCGAAUGUGGCAGCAAAUGAAUCGUCUAAAGUACGCCAGAAGCGUGGACGACCUGUUGGGUCAAAAGACUCAAAUCCCCGGAAGAGGAAAAGCCAAACAAAACCUCCAGUAAAUAGCGCUCCUGGAGAGGCUAUAAGGCAAGGAAAACACAUUCUCUCUAAACAAAAACCUCUUGAAGAGGAAUGUGUCCCUGAAGUGACACAAGCCCCUGAAGUGGCCGUCCCUGAAGUGACACAAGCCCCAGAUGUGGCCCAGGUACUUGAAAAUGAUGAAAUUUCUGUAAAUUAUGCAUGCACAAGAGAGUUGUGGAAUAGAAACAAAAUUGUCAUCGAUGACGUAUUCUCCUUUGCCGUAGCUGCUGAAAUUGCAGCAGAUGAUGAUGGUCUUGAACCACAUACUGUUGAGGAAUGUCAACAACGACAUGAUUGGCUAAAAUGGAAGGAUGCAAUUCAAGCAGAAUUGGAUUCUCUUGCAAAACGAAAUGUGUUUGGACCUGUAGUCCUAACCCCCAAGAAUGUUAACCCUGUAGGUUACAAAUGGGUAUUUGCAAGGAAACGCAAUGAGAAAAACGAGAUUGUAAGAUAUAAAGCUCGUCUCGUGGCACAAGGUUUCUCGCAGAAACCUGGGAUUGAUUAUGAAGAGACCUAUUCUCCCGUGAUGGAUGCAAUUACAUUUCGAUUUUUAAUCAGUCUGGCAGUCUCUGAAAGACUCGACAUGCAUCUCAUGGACGUGGUUACUGCGUAUCUUUACGGAAUGUUGGAUACUGAUAUUUAUAUGAAAGUCCCUGAAGGAUUAAAAUUGCCUGAAGCAAAACCACGUAAUAUGUACUCUAUUAAGCUUAAGAGAUCAUUAUAUGGAUUGAAACAGUCCGGGCGUAUGUGGUACAAUCGCCUCAGUGAGUACCUACUGAAGGAAGGGUACAAGAAUGAUCCCAUUUGCCCAUGUAUAUUCAUUAAGAAAGCAAAUUUAGGGUUUGCCAUCAUUGCGGUUUAUGUCGAUGACAUAAAUAUAAUUGGAUCUCCUGAAGAGAUUACCAGAGCAUCAAACUCUUUAAAGAAUGAGUUCGAGAUGAAAGAUCUCGGUAAAACAAAGUAUUGUCUCGGCCUACAGAUCGAACAUACGACCCAUGGAAUAUUUGUCCAUCAGUCAACGUAUACUGAAAAAGUUUUAAAGCGUUUUAACAUGGACAAAUGUCGCCCAAGUCGCACUCCAAUGGUCGUAAGGUCACUUGAUGUGAAAUUAGACCCAUUUCGUCCUAAAGAGGACAAUGAAUCUUUAGUUGGUCCUGAAGUACCAUACUUGAAUGUUGUGGGUGCUCUUUUAUAUUUAGCCCAAUGUACUAGACCUGACAUUUCAUUUGCAGUGAAUUUGUUAGCCAGGUUUAGCUCAGCUCCAACCCGACGACAUUGGACUGGCUUAAAGGAGAUUAUGCGUUACCUUCGAGGAACGACUGAUAUGGGUUUAUACUAUUCCAGAGAACCGCCAAAUGGCUCCCAACUAAAAGGGUAUGCAGAUGCUGGAUAUAGAUCUGACCCACACAAAGAAAGAUCGCAAACCGGGUAUGUAUUUACUUAUGGUGGUACAACAAUUUCUUGGCGAUCUUCUAAGCAAACAUUGGUUGCUACAUCUUCCAACCACUCGGAGAUACUUGCACUCCAUGAAGCAACUCGUGAGUGUGUAUGGUUGAGGCUCUUGAUACACCAUAUCCAAUCAACAUGCGGACUCCCCUCAGUUACAGAAACACCAACGGUGAUUUAUGAAGACAAUGCUGCAUGUAUUAAUCAAAUCAGGGAAGGCUACAUUAGAAGUGAUAAAACAAAACAUAUUUCUCCAAAAUUCUUCUUCUCUCAUGAACUCCAGCAGAGUAACGAGAUCAAUGUCCAGAAGAUAUGGUCUGAUGAGAAUCUCACUGAUUUGUUCACUAAGUCACUAGCUCCACCAGCUUUUGAGAAACUGGCAUAUGGUAUUGGGAUGCGUCGAAAGUCAAGCUUAGUCUGUUUUUCAUAAGGGGGAGCUAUCUUCAGGGGGAGCCGCCAGGACAUGAAGCGCACUGUACUCUUUUUCCUUAACUAUGGUUUUUCCCACUGGGUUUUCCUAGCAAGGUUUUAACGAGGCAAUAUAUAGCGCGUCCAAUACCAGUCAAGAUAUCAACUAUUGUACUCUUUUUCCUUCGCUAUGGUUUUUCCCAUUGGGUUUUCCUGGCAAGGUUUUAAUGAGGCAAUGAUCUUGAUAUGGUGAACAUUGUACAUCCAAGGGGGAGUGUUGUAAACAUUAUUAUUGUGGAUGUCCAAUCUAAGCCCAAGCCCAAGUCCACAUUAUAAUUACUUUACAACAUGGUUCAAGAUGCAUUUAAUGGUACUUGCUUACUCACUAUAUACGUGGCUCAUACCUAUGUUAAAGUCGGUUUGACUUUAAGAUAUUCCUUUGCUGAAUAUAUACAUAAGUGAAUGUGAGGUACUAUGUACAACGAUAAUACAGAGAAGUGAAAAUGAACAAGAGCAACUUAUCAGCUACUUAUCUCCGUCCAUAUCUCUCUAUUAUACUACUUGUUUAUAAAUAUUAGCCUGGUCUAUCUAUUAAGCUACCUGAAGUUGCUUUAAUUUUUACUAUACAUAAAAUUUUGUAUGGGUUUUAGUAAUUAUUAAUUUAUAUUUUCGUUGGGCCUUUAAGAAUUCAUUUUUUUUUUAUUACUUAAUACAUUUAGCGAGGUUAUUACUUUAGUACAAAUGCCCAAGUCGGGACCGAAAGAAAUUAUUAUCCAAGCGAAGUUAUUACUUUAUCGAACAUUCAUUUAUCGAGGUUUUACUGUAUAGAUUGGUGAACGUAAGUGUAGACCUGUCAACUAUCCAAACCAAUCCAUGAUCUAAACCGAUCCAAAACCGAUCCAAUCCAUUAUUUUUUGGUUUUGGAUAUCCAAUUACACUAAUGGUUCUGUUGAAAUGGUUUUUGGAUAACCAUUCUUUUUUUUUUGUUUGGUUCGUAUAAAUCCAAAGAAAAACCUGAUCCGAUCCAAAUCCAAUAGCCAUUAAUCAGAGGAUAAAAAAAACAAAAAAAAUUCGAUCAAACAAAAGCUCUUCUUCUUCUCAGUUUCCCUUCCCUUCAAAACUAAUAAUUAUCUCUGUGAGCUUUGUAAUUCUAGGUAAGUUCUUCAAGUUACAAAUGAUUUAUCAAUCCGAAAUUUUUUACUUCGCAAAAUAAAUCACUAUCAAUAUGUUCACACAACAGGUUUGCAAGUGAAUCAAAUCACAAGUUUGGUUUAAUUUUGAAACAAAUGUUGGGUUCUAGGGACUCAGGAAAUGUUUGACUCAAUUUUGGCUCAAUCCUAUUUAGGGUACUUGUACAUAUUGGAUUGGCAUGAUUUUUGGUAGAUAUGAUCUUCUUACUAUAAAGAUCUACUACAUAAAAAAUCAGCUCAUUUGAAUAUAUUUAGACCCAUCAAAUGUAAUAUUACAUUCAAUGGUAAAAAUGAACGUUCCACAAUACAUUAACUUGUAAUAUGAUUUUUUUAGGGUUAGAAAAUUCAGAUUAUGAUAAAUUUUGGUGAAAAUGUCGUACAUAAUGAGAACAUUCAUCCUACAAAAAAUCAUCCUACAAAAAAUCAUCCCAGUCCAACAUGUACAAGUACCUUAAAUAGGAUUGAGUCAAAAUUGAGUCAAAUAUUUCCUGAGUCCCUAAACCCAAUACCUCGUCAAUUUACAUGUUCUCUCACUGAUUUCUCCGAGCAAUCAAUGAAGAAGAACGAUGAUGUUCUCAUUUUCGACGAUGGAAAGACAGUAAUAUAGUGACGACGAAAAAGAAGAUGAAUGAACAAGAAGAGAUUAUCACUUCUACAGUUCUACUUUCUUUUCUUAUUAGAGCGAAGAAGAAGAAGAACUGAACAAGAGCCGAGAUAAAAAUAAAAAUAAAAAAACAAGCAGACUUUUAAGAGGAAUUGAGAAUUGGAUCAGUUCAGUUUGGAUCGGUUAUCUAUUAUUAGAAACGGAUCAGUUUAGUAUCCAAGCAAUAUUAUUCAUUCUUAAAUUGGAUUGGAUCGGUUCGGAUCACAAUAGAAUUGGAUCGGUUUGGAUCAUAGAGAAAACCAAACCGAUCCGAUCCGAUCCAUUGACAGCCCUAGACUAUAAGUGUAGGCAUUAAAAAGGCUUGAGUUUCACACGUGAAACUCGUGGAAUCCAUCCCAGUGAGUGAGUGAGAUAUAAUAUCUCUCUCUCUCUCUCUCUCAAAGUUACACUCAUUCAUUCAUUCACAGAGAAAGAAAUCUAACACUAAUGGCAUCAAUGGCAUAUGCAAGAAAUGUAACACUAACACUCCAUCCAAACUCGUCAAACAAAUCUUGUUUCUCUUCAAAACCCUCUUUCUUCUACAUCUCAUCUGUUCAUUCAACUGAACCAACAAAGAAACCAUCAUCAUCAUCAUCUUCAACUCUAACUAAUAUUAGUAAAUCAUCUUGUUCAAAUUGGUCUCUUGAAAGUUGGAAAUCAAAGAAAGCUUUUCAAAUCCCAACUUACCCAAACAAAGAAGAAUUUGAUUCAGUUUUAAAUGAAUUGACUAGAUUCCCACCACUUGUUUUUGCUGGAGAAGCUCGCAAAUUAGAAGAUAAACUUGCUGAUGCUGCUGUUGGAAAGGC